rnacentral:rRNA from 1 species
GGGAUACCACUUGGAAACAGGUGCUAAUACCGGAUAAGAAAGCGGAUCGCAUGAUCAGCUUUUAAAAGGCGGCGUAAGCUGUCGCUAUGGGAUGGCCCCGCGGUGCAUUAGCUAGUUGGUAAGGUAAAGGCUUACCAAGGCGAUGAUGCAUAGCCGAGUUGAGAGACUGAUCGGCCACAUUGGGACUGAGACACGGCCCAAACUCCUACGGGAGGCAGCAGC